UGGGGAAUUUUGGACAAUGGGCGAAAGCCUGAUCCAGCAAUGCCGCGUGUGUGAAGAAGGCCUUCGGGUUGUAAAGCACUUUUGUCCGGAAAGAAAUCCUCUGGGUUAAUACCUCGGGGGGAUGACGGUACCGGAAGAAUAAGCACCAGCUAACUACGUGCCAGCAGCCGCGGUAAUACGUAGGGUGCAAGCGUUAAUCGGAAUUACUGGGCGUAAAGCGUGCGCAGGCGGUUUUGUAAGACGGAUGUGAAAUCCCCGGGCUUAACCUGGGAACUGCAUUCGUGACUGCAAGGCUAGAGUAUGGCAGAGGGGGGUAGAAUUCCACGUGUAGCAGUGAAAUGCGUAGAGAUGUGGAGGAAUACCGAUGGCGAAGGCAGCCCCCUGGGCCAAUACUGACGCUCAUGCACGAAAGCGUGGGGAGCAAACAGGAUUAGAUACCCCUGGUAGUCCACGCCCUAAACGAUGUCAACUAGUUGUUGGGGAUUCAUUUCCUUAGUAACGUAGCUAACGCGUGAAGUUGACCGCCUGGGGAGUACGGUCGCAAGAUUAAAACUUAAAUGAAUUGACGGGGUCAUAGCUGUUUCC
rnacentral:rRNA from 1 species